UCUGACGGAGCACGCCGCGUGAACGAUGAAGGCCUUCGGGUCGUAAAGUUCUGUUGUUAGGGAAGAACAAGUACCAGAGUAACUGCUGGUACCUUGACGGUACCUAACCAGAAAGCCACGGCUAACUACGUGCCAGCAGCCGCGGUAAUA
rnacentral:rRNA from 1 species